rnacentral:rRNA from 1 species
UACGGGGGGAGCAAGCGUUGUUCGGAUUACUGGGCGUAAAGGGCGCGUAGGCGGUCAGCACAAGUCAGUUGUGAAAUCUCCGGGCUUAACUCGGAAAGGUCAACUGAUACUGUGCGACUAGAGUGCGGAAGGGGCAACUGGAAUUCUCGGUGUAGCGGUGAAAUGCGUAGAUAUCGGAAGGAACACCUGUGGCGAAAGCGGCUCACUGGACCAUUACUGACGCUGAGGCACGAAAGCUAGGGAGCAAACAGG